rnacentral:tRNA from 1 species
AUGGGUGCGAUGGAAUUGGUUUACAUCCAGUACUUAGGAUACUGGGGCUUCAAGCCAUGUGGGUUCAAGUCCCAUCACCCAUA